UACGUAGGGGGCGAGCGUUGUCCGGAGUUUCUGGGCGUAAAGCGUGCGCAGGCGGUUUGCUAAGACCGAUGUGAAAUCCCCGGGCUUAACCUGGGAACUGCAUUGGUGACUGGCAGGCUAGAGUAUGGCAGAGGGGGGUAGAAUUCCACGUGUAGCAGUGAAAUGCGUAGAGAUGUGGAGGAAUACCGAUGGCGAAGGCAGCCCCCUGGGCCAAUACUGACGCUCAUGCACGAAAGCGUGGGGAGCAAACAGG
rnacentral:rRNA from 1 species